GAUUGUGAAAACUUACCAUAACGUUUAAUCUAAAUACACUGAAAUUUUAAAUCACUAUAUCUUCUCACAAAUUCAAGCUGAUUUCCUGCCAGCAUUUGAUUGAUGAUCGCUUCAUUAAGUGCUUGAUCCGUCUUCAGUAACUGAAGAAAACGCCAGAUAUUUGGAUGACAUGACGUUAUGUUCGCCUGUAAAUGGUUAUUCCGUACCUCCAAGGAAUUAAUUGUUCGUGGUACCGUGAUAAGAGGCAUUCAACUAAACUGUCGGCUUUAAUCUGAAAGCUUAAAGUUGAAGGACGUAUCUACGUCAACAAAUGAAAGAUCCUUUCGAAAACCAGACCUUAUAUUAAUGAGUCCAAAAGAUGUUCAGUAUGUUCUCUUGAAAAACUGUACCUUGAGAUUUUCCAACAACAACGUAAAUUCCAAGAACGAAAUUGUUUCUAGUUGUUCACAUUUUAAGAAAUACAUCUUGGCGGAAUUUUAUAAUA